rnacentral:lncRNA from 1 species
CAUGGGAUAAUUGCAAUUUUGGUCCCUAAUUGUAUAGGGACAUUGCAAGUUGAUCCUUGAACCUCAACUAUAAAUAGGCCUAACCAUUUCUUACUUUCUUCAUCCCAUAAUUGCCAUUCUCUACUUAAGGCAUUAUUCUCUUCCCUAUUUGUAAAUUUCACUUGUAAUUUUUGGAGUGAAAUAUAUUUGGUAGUGCCCGAGGACGUAGGCAAAAUUUGCUGAACCUCGUUAAAAUUCUGGUGUUCUUUAUUAUUUAUUUUGCAUAUUUUGUGAAUGUGAUUGUAGUGAUUUAUUGUGCUAUUAAAUUAUGAUAGAGGGAUAUUCUGGCUAGGAAAGACUUGGUAUUUAAGUGAUCUUCGUGAUCUACCUCUCUUUCCUGGGAAUUGAACUUAGUGUGAUUUUUCAGUACAAUAUUUUUUCUCUUUCACACGCUUCCGCGCAACAAUUGGUACCAGAGCCAGAUUCGUACUUGGGGAAUACGACCGUUUACGGUACUAUUUACGUAUACGGCACUAUUCAUGUAUAUGGUACUAUUCACGCAUAUGGCACUAUUCAUGUAUACUGUACUAUUCACGUAUACAGUAGUUAGGAUUGAGGAGAAAAAUGGCAGCAGCAUCGUCAUCAGCAAGGACUACUGUGACAAAUGCAAAAUUUGAAGUAGAGAAAUUUGACGGUACCAAUAAUUUUGGUAUGUGGCAAUGUGAGAUCCUGGAUGUCUUAUGUCAGCAAAAUCUAGAUAUAGCCCUUGAAGAAAAACCUGACAAGAUGGAUGACAAGGAGUGGGCCAAGAUCAAUAGACAGGCGUGUGGUACAAUCCACCUAUGUUUGGCCAAAGAGCAGAAGUACUCUGUCAUGAGGGAGACAUCAGCGAAGAAGUUAUGGGAUACACUGGAAGAAAAGUUUCUAACGAAAAGUCUUGAAAAUAGGCUUUAUAUGAAAAAGAAACUUUAUCGAUUCACGUACGCACCCGGUAUGUUGAUGAAUGACCAUGUAAACUCAUUCAAUAAAAUUUUAGCAGACUUGCUAAAUUUGGAUGAGAAAUUUGAAGAUGAAGACAAGGCAUUAUUGUUGUUGAAUUCCCUUCCUGAUGAAUAUGAUCAUCUUACCACCAUAUUGCUUCAUGGGAAGGACACGAUCACAUUUGAUGCAGUCUGUAGUGCGUUGUAUAGAUCUGAGACUCAAAAAAAAGAUAAAAGAGAUCACAGAGAUACAACUGCAGAAGUCUUAACAGUAAGAGGUCGUUCACACAGCAGCAAAUCUGGUAGAAGAGGAAAGUCCAUGUAACACCCCCUAACCCCAAACCGUCGUCGGAACAGGGCUACGAGGCAUUACCGGAUAUGUCAGACAACUUAUGGAUAUUUUACAAUUAUUAUAAUAUUCAUAGUAUAAUUGAAGAAUUAUGUCCCUAUAAUGGACUUUCGAAGCCCAACACAAGUAUUAAAGUGGAAUGAAACGGGACUUGUUCGAGUAUUCAGGGAAAUAUAUAUUUUUUUUUUACAAAAAUUUCGACAGCAUUUCUUCUUAAUUUUUACAUAAAACCCCCUGCAAAUUCAAACCAAAAACCACCUAAUCCAAAACCAAUGGCACAAUCAAAAACAAUUUAAACCUAAAUAUAUCUAAAUCAUAACGAAUUCAUUAACAUAGUCAUUUAAUAACUAAACAUUCAUAAUAUUAAUCCAAAUUAACUAAUAACUUCAUUCAUUUUUUUUUCCUUCCAACUUAUACCAAAUUAUAUAAUAUAAUAUUUACCAUUUUAUCAAACUAAUAACAAAAUAUGGUAUACCAUUCUUAUAACUAACUUUACAAGUAUAUCUAUAUAACUUAUACAACACCUAGUACAUGCCACUUUCAAUUAAGAAAGAAAACAUCACCCAAAAUCUUUUCGCUGAAGUCGGGAUCACUCGGAUGCUAGACCAGUACACUAGACUUCUAUUAACCUGCGCACGGAAACAACCGUACGCUGAGUAUUUCAUACUCAGUGGUAUUACCAUAAUUCAAAUUGCAAUAGCAAUUAAAAAAAAUAAAAUAAGAACUCAGCAUCAAAUAACAAUUCUUUUUUUUUAAGUUAUCAUUAAAUAACAAUAAAUAAACAAUCUUUAGCUAUUAUUCAAUUUUAGUUACAAAUCACAUUUACCAGGUUUUAAUCACCACAAUCAUUUUAAAUCCAUGCAUUUCAUUUCCAAUCUAAAUUUUCAGUCCACAAUUUUAAUUUCUUUCAUAUUCACUAGUACAGUCGAUCAAAUUCAUUUGAACUUCUCAUUUCAAUUAUUCACCCUAUUAACAUUUCGGACUUUAACGGAUACACGGAUUCCAACCUAAACACACCAGUACGGCACAUUGUGCCUAAAAUGGUACAUAGUACCUGAUCAGUAUACGACACAUAAAGUGCCUAAAACGACACACGAGGUGCCUGAUACGACACACGAGGUGCUUGAUACGACACACGAGGUGCCUGAUACAACACAUAAAGUGCCUGAUCAAUAAAGCCGGAAAAUCCCGUACACUUCCAUAUCCUAUGGCAUGCCAAUUAUAUCCGACUUAGCCCGACUAGUUAAUAGGGUAUUUCAAUUCUCAAUUCACUUUCAUUUCCAUUCCAAGAUUACUUUUCAAUUAAAAUUUUCACAUUCAAAUCAAUUUACAAUUCAAUUAUACAUACACAUUCACCAUUCAAUUCAAUUCUCAUUCAACUCAAAUAUCAAUACUUACCUUAUAAUUCACUUAUUAAAUAUAGAAUUGAUAUAAAACAUUUAAUAAAAAGUAAUUUGAAUUAUAGUAAUACAAACUGUGAAUUUCUCGUUUUAAUCCUCGAUAGCUUUCUCCUUUCCUUUGUGCGCCGAUGUCUUGGGUUCUUUGUUAACUACGAAAAUAAUAAUAAUUUAUAAUCAUCAAUAUAACACAAUUCAAUUUAAUCCAUGAGCCUAAACAUGCAAAUUUAACCAUUUUUAAUGUAUAUAUAUAAUUUCACCAUUAAGCUGUCUACUUGAGUCAUUGUUACUAAAUUAUUUAUAUCUUGAGCUAGGAAACUCCAAAUUAAGAUCCACUAAUUUUCCCUGAAACUAGACUCAUAUAUCUUCUCACCAUAAGAUUUUCAGAAUUUUUGGUCUAGCCAAUUAGUACAGUUUAUUCAUUAAAUACUCCCCUGUUAUUUCAUUUGACAGUUCUGACCUCUCUCUACUAAAAAUAAAUUAUCUCAUUGUACAGAACUCGAAUAAGGUUCUUGUUUACUUAUUUUUAAACUAGAUUCAUUAAGGAGUUCACAAAUAUAAAUUACACUCCAUAAUAAUUUUUGUACAAUUUAUAAUGAUUUUCCAAAGUUAAAACAGGGCAUCUCGAAAUCACCCCGAACCAGUCUUACAAAAUUUCAAAUAUCUCUUGAUUCAUCAAUUCAUUGCUUACACUAUUUAUACUAUAAGAAACUAGACUCAAUAAGUUUUAAUUACAUAUUUUUUUCAUCCUCUAGUUCAAUUUAUACAAUUUUUAGUGAAUUUUCAAAGUCAGACCAUUGCUACUUCCCAAAACUGUUUUGAUGUAAAAUUGUUAAUAACCAAAUUUAUAACACCAAUUCACACCUUAUGUCUACUCAAAUUUCAUUUAAACUCAAAUUUAACUAUUAAAUUUUCAACAUAUUUUCUUAAUUCCGAAAUUUUCCUCAAUUUAGUCCCUAAAACACAAAACUUAUAGCUUACUUUGCAAUUCAAUCCUUAUAUCUAUUUUAACUUGAAUUUCAUUCAAUUAAACCCCUAUUUCAUUUUUUUUAUUCAACAUGAACAAUAUUUAGAAUUCUAAUAACUUUCAAAAUAUUAAUUUAAUUUCAUCAAAACUUUGUUCUAAAGCUUUUAAAACAUUAAAAUUAAGUAAAAAGGGCUAAAUUAACUUACCUAUUAAACUUUCAAACCUCCAAACCCUAAUUCUCCCUUUUUCUUUUCUUUCUUCUUUCUUUCUUUCCUUCCCCUGCUUUUCGUUUGCCUAUUCUGUUUCUUUUCUUUGUUCUUUACUUUAUUUUCUUUCUUUUAUUUGUUUUAGUUGCUAAUAAUAUAUUAUAAUAAUUUAUUUAUUAUUUAUUUUUUUACCAUCCACUUGUCAAAAUUAUACUAUAUAACUAAGUAAAAAUCUUAGAUUUUUUUACUCCUUUGCCGCCUCAUCUUCCCAAAUAGGCUUAAUUCCCUAUUUGGUCCUUAUUAUUUCCUACUAAUUUAUAAUUAAACUUUUACUCCUUAUUCAAUUUAGUCAUUUUUACUAAUUACUCUAAAUUAAGCUAAAUUCACCUAAUUUAAACCUAAUCAAACAUAUCGCUAAACUCAUAAAUAUUUCUAGUAAUUAUUUCGAACUCGAUUUACUAAGACGAAGGCCUGUUAAUGUACUUUUCUGAUGCCCGUGAAUUUUGGAUCAUUACAGUCCAAAGGGAGACCCGCCAAAGAUGAAUGUGCCUUUUGUCGUGAAAAAGGCAUUGGAAAAAGAAUUGUCCUAAGCUAUAAAAGGGCAAGGCUAUUUCUAAUGCAUGUGUAGCGGAGCAUGAUGAUGAGUCAGACUUUAGCUUGGUUGGCAUGGCAAUGGUAUGUCAAACGGAUGAGUGGAUUUUGGAUUCAGGAUGUACUUACCAUAUGUGUCCUAAUAAGGACUGGUUUUCUAGUAUUAAAGAGCUAGAAGGUGGAAUUGUUCUUAUGGGCAAUGAUAGUGCUUGUAAGACAAUGGGAGUAGGUACAGUCCAAUUGAAGAAUCACGACGGCUCAAUCCAAGUCUUGACAGAUGUUCGCUACGUACCUAGCCUGAAGAAAAAUUUCAUCUCAUUAGGGGCCCUAGAAUCUAAAGGGCUCGCAAUCACUUUGAGAGAUGGAUUACUAAAAGUAAUAGCUGGGCAAUUGACGGUGAUGAAAGGCACAAGAAGAAAUAACUUGUAUUUUUUAAAUGGAAGUACAGUUAUUGGAUCAACAUCAACAGUUUCUACAAAAGAUGUAGAUUCGGAGGCUACCAGAUUAUGGCAUAUGCGAUUGGGACAUGCUGGUGAAAAAGCUUUGCAGACAUUGGCGAAGCAAGGCUUGUUGAAAGGUGCAAAUUCUUGCAAAAUAGAAUUCUGUGAACAUUGUGUUCUAGGCAAGCAGAAGAGGGUAAAAUUUGGUCCAGCAAUUCACAAUACGAAAGGAAUUCUGGACUAUGUUCACAGUGAUGUGUGGGAACCUACCAAAGUGGCUUCUUUGGGAGGUAUGCACUAUUUUGUUACUUUUGUUGAUGAUUAUUCAAGAAAAGUAUGGGUGUAUCUAAUGAAAAGAAAAAGUAAAGUUUUGGUUGCAUUUCUGAAAUGGAAAAAGAUGGUGGAGACUCAGACUGGUCGAAAGGUCAAACGACUUCGAUCAGAUAAUGGCACUGAGUACAAAAAUGAUCCAUUUCUACAAGUAUGUCAAGAUGAGGGCAUUGUGCGACACUUCACUGUUCGGGAUACACCACAGCAGAAUGGGGUGGCAGAACGCAUGAAUCGAAUUAUACUGGAGAAAGUUCGAUGUAUGUUGUCCAAUGCUGGAUUGGGCAAGGAAUUUUGGGCUGAGGCAGUUAUAUAUGCGUGCCAUCUAAUUAACCAUUUGCCAUCAGCUGCAAUAAAUGGAAAAACUCCUAUGGAGAUGUGGACUGGUAAAUCUGCUACUGAUUAUGAUUCUUUACAUGUAUUUGGUUCCACUGCAUAUUAUCAUGUAAAAGAAUCUAAGUUAGACCCAAGAGCAAAGAAAGCAUUAUUCUUGGGUAUAACUGAUGGAGUAAAAGGAUAUCGUCUCUGGUGUUCUGAUACAAUGAAGAUUGUUUUCAGUAGAGAUGUGACUUUUGAUGAAUCAACCAUGUUAAAGUACAAGGAUUCACAAAAGGAUGACAAAACCAGUAGUACUUUACAGCAGGUGGAGCUUGAAAAGGUUAACGAUGAUCCAACUAAUAUUGGAGGGACAAAUGAUGAAGAGGUUUCUACCCAAGAACCUCUACAGCAACAAGAUUCAAUUGCAUAUAAAAGGCCAAGAAGAGAGAUUCGUAAGCCUGCUCGCUUUGAUGAUAUAGUGGCCUAUGCACUUCCAAUUGCAGAUGAUGAUGUUCCUUCUACUUACACAGAAGCAAUAAGUAACCCUGAUGGUGUAAAGUGGAAGCAAGCAAUGAAUGAAGAAAUGCAGUCUCUUCAUAAAAAUAAGACUUGGGAGUUGGUGACACUACCCAAGGGAAAGAAGGCAAUUGGAUGCAAAUGGGUAUAUGCAAAGAAGGAAGGAUUUCCUGAUAAAAAUGAAAUUCGAUACAAGGCUAGAUUGGUAGCAAAGGGUUACGCUCAGAAAGAAGGAAUAGACUACAAUGAAGUGUUUUCUCCAGUUGUGAAGCAUUCGUCUAUUCGGAUUUUGCUAGCUUUGGUUGCGCAAUAUGAUCUUGAACUAGUUCAGCUUGAUGUGAAGACCGCGUUUUUACACGGUGAUUUGGAAGAGGAAAUCUAUAUGACUCAGCCAGAUGGAUUCAAGGUUGCUGGAAAAGAAAAUCGGGUUUGCAAACUGACAAAGUCGCUUUAUGGAUUGAAGCAAUCUCCGAGGCAGUGGUACAACCGAUUUGAUCUGUUCAUGAAAGGGCAAAGGUACACAAGAAGCAAAUUUGAUCAUUGUGUGUAUUUUCAGAAGCUACAAGAUGGAACUUUCAUAUACUUGCUCUUAUAUGUUGAUGAUAUGCUAAUAGCAUCUAAGAGCAGAGUUGAGAUUGAAAGAUUGAAGACUCAACUCAAUCUCGAGUUUGAGAUGAAAGAUCUAGGAGAAGCUAAAAAGAUUCUCGGCAUGGAAAUAUGGAGAGAUAGAGCUCAUGAUAGAGUUAGCUUGUCUCAGAAGCAGUAUUUGAAGAAGGUACUACAACAGUUUGGCAUGAACGAGCAGACAAAACCUGUAAGUACCCCGUUGGCUUCUCAUUUCAAGCUUUCUGCACAACUAUCUCCUUCGACGAAUACGGGACGAGAAUACAUGUUGCAAGUUCCAUAUUCUAAUGCAGUGGGUAGCUUGAUGUAUGCAAUGGUGUGUACAAGACCCAACAUUUCACAGGCAGUUAGUAUAGUGAGCAGGUAUAUGCAUAAUCCUGAAAAAGGACAUUGGCAAGCUGUGAAAUGGAUUCUACGGUAUAUUCAGAAGACCGUAGAUGUUGGAUUACUGUUCAAGCAGGAUAAUACACUUGGUAAAUGUGUUAUUGGGUACGUUGAUUCUGACUAUGCCGGUGAUUUGGACAAGCGAAGAUCAACCACCGGUUAUGUGUUUACACUUGCUGGAGGACCAAUAAGUUGGAAGUCUACAUUACAGUCUACUGUUGCGUUGUCAACCACAGAAGCCGAGUACAUGGCUGUAACAGAGGCUGUAAAUGAGGCUAUUUGGUUACAAGGUAUGGCUAAAACCUUGGAAUUGGUUCAGGAGCAUAUUAACGUGUAUUGUGAUAGUCAAAGUGCUAUUCAUUUAGCAAAGAAUCAAGUCUAUCAUGCACGUACAAAGCAUAUCGACGUACGAUUCCAUUUUGUGGGGGAAAUUAUUGAAGAGGGGAAAAUUUGUCUUCAGAAGAUCAAGACCGCAGAUAAUCCCGCAGAUAUGAUGACCAAGGUGGUAACAGCAACCAAGUUCGAACAUUGUUGGAACUUGAUUAAUAUCCUGCAAGUUUAACAGUUGAAGAAUGCACUAUCAAGUAUUGUUGUCAAAGGCAGAAAGAAUUGUGUGAAGAUAAGAUUAUCCUAAUCAAAUCUUCAAGGUGGAGAUUAUUGGAACCCACCCAUUGUUUGAAAAGUCAAAAAGGGUGGGCACCGAAAGUAGAAAGUAAAAGUUGGCAUGGGAUAAUUGCAAUUUUGGUCCCUAAUUGUAUAGGGACAUUGCAAGUUGAUCCUUGAACCUCAACUAUAAAUAGGCCUAACCAUUUCUUACUUUCUUCAUCCCAUAAUUGCCAUUCUCUACUUAAGGCAUUAUUCUCUCUCCCUAUUUGUAAAUUUCACUUGUAAUUUUUGGAGUGAAAUAUAUUUGGUAGUGCCCGAGGACGUAGGCAAAAUUUGCUGAACCUC